UUAUACAAUGAAGAGUUUGAUCCUGGCUCAGGAUGAACGCUAGCGGCAGGCUUAACACAUGCAAGUCGAACGGUAACAUUGGUGCUUGCACCAGAUGACGAGUGGCGCACGGGUGCGUAACGCGUAUGCAAUCUACCUUUUACUGAAGAAUAGCCCAGAGAAAUUUGGAAUAAUCCUUCAUAAUAUCAUUUAUCAGCAU
rnacentral:rRNA from 1 species